AGAACGAACGCUGGCGGCAUGCCUAACACAUGCAAGUCGAACGAGACCUUCGGGUCUAGUGGCGCACGGGUGCGUAACGCGUGGGAAUCUGCCCUUGGGUUCGGGAUAACAGUUGGAAACGACUGCUAAUACCGGAUGAUGACUUCGGUCCAAAGAUUUAUCGCCCAGGGAUGAGCCCGCGUAGGAUUAGCUAGUUGGUGAGGUAAAGGCUCACCAAGGCGACGAUCCUUAGCUGGUCUGAGAGGAUGAUCAGCCACACUGGGACUGAGACACGGCCCAGACUCCUACGGGAGCAGCAGUGGGAAUAGUGGACAAGUGGGACGAAACGCCUAGACUCCCGGACAACGUGCCGACGUGGAGUGAGUGGAAGGCCGUUAGGUUAGUAAAGCUUCGUUUACCCGGGAAUGUAAUAA
rnacentral:rRNA from 1 species